UACGGGGGGGGUAAGCGUUGUUCGGAAUUACUGGGCGUAAAGCGCAUGUAGGCGGUUGGGCAAGUUGAGUGUGAAAGCUCCCGGCUAAACUGGGAGAGGACAUUUAAGACUGCCCGGCUAGAGGUCGGUAGAGGGGCGCAGAAUUCGGGGUGUAGCGGUGAAAUGUGUAGAGAUCCCGAGGAACACCGAUGGCGAAGGCAGUGUUCUGGGCCAGUACUGACGCUGAGGAGCGAAAGCGUGGGGAGCAAACAGG
rnacentral:rRNA from 1 species